rnacentral:ncRNA from 1 species
CAAAGUUUUGGUCCUAAACUUGCCGCUGUUUUUGAUUAAAUUUACACAUGUAAGUAUCCGCACCCCAGUGAACUAAGCCCAAAAAGAAACACGGAGCAGGUAUCAGGCACAAACUUUAGCCCAAAACACCUAGCUAUGCCACACCCCCACGGGAUAUCAACAGUGACAAACAUUAAGCCAUAAGCGACAUCCUACUUUAAAGCUUGACUUAGUUAUAAUCAUUAGAGUCGGCCAAUCUCGUGCCAGCCGCCGCGGUUACACGAGAGACUCAAAUCAGCCCCCCAACGGCGUAAAUUGUGACUAGAAUACUAAACCACCAUACAAGGGAAAAAUCAAAGCUUAACUGUAAAACAAGAGCAAAACGAAUUCCCUUUAUUUAAGUAAAUUUGAACUCACGAAAGCUAAGAAACAAACUAGGAUUAGAUACCCUACUAUGCUUAGCCCUUAAUAAGACCCCUCUUUAAACCAGGAGUCCGCCAGAGAACUACAGGUGAAAAGCCUAAAACUCAAAAGACUUGGCGGUGCCCCAAACCCGACUUAGAGGAGCCUGUCCUAUAAUCGAUAACCCACGAUAAACCCGACCGUUUUUUGCCCUACCAGCCUAUAUACCGCCGUCGCAAAUCUACCUCACAAGAGAACCAUCGUAGGUAAAACAGUUAAACACUAAAACGUCAGGUCAAGGUGUAGCUAAUAAAACGGAAGAGAUGGGCUACAUUCUUUAGUCCUAAAGUAUAACAAAAAGAACCCUGAAAACCCUUCCAAAAGGUGGAUUUAACAGUAAGCCUAGUAAGAAAACUAGACUUAAGCUCGCCCUGGGGCGCGCACACACCGCCCGUCACCCUCCUCUAAAUCACCCUAAGCCAAUUUAUAAUAAAACUCAGAACAAAAGAUGAGGCAAGUCGUAACAUGGUAAGCGCACUGGAAAGUGUGCUUGGAACA